rnacentral:tRNA from 1 species
AGCUUUUAACGGUUUUUUGGAAUACAGAGAAAUUUGAAGAAAUAUGCCUUCAAUCGGGCUCAUAACCCGAAGGUCGUAGGUUCAAAUCCUGCCCCCGCAACCA